rfam:TPA: Bos taurus chromosome 7, whole genome shotgun sequence.
UCCCUUGAGGCUCAGCUGGUAAAGAAUCUGCCUGUAAUGCAGAAGACCUGGGUUCAAUCCCUGGGUUGGGAA